rnacentral:scRNA from 1 species
GGGGUUGGGGAUUUAGCUCAGUGGUAGAGCGCUUGCCUAGCAAGCGCAAGGCCCUGGGUUCGGUCCCCAGCUCUGGAAAAAAAAAAAAGAAAAAAAAAAAGAAAAAA